GCCCUCUCUUUCUUGACCAAUUAACGCACAGCCAUGGAACCACUCUGGAGAAGCCGCUCUCCACUCACCUUCGACGCUUCAAUUGGAAUGCACAGAAGCCUCCAAUUCUUCUCUUUGUCUUCUCGCUUCCAUCUCUCUGUCUUCAAAAAUUUGGGAGAUGAGUUUCGGCAGAGAAAAAGACUGAAUUUAUGGGGAAGAUCGAUCAUCUUAUCUUGGCUACGGAAAAUCCAUAAAUGGCAAGUGGAAGGCAACUGGCCCAGUUAUCUCUACAAGAGCCUGAGUGAAUUUAUUGGCUUUGAAUAUAGACCCAAGAGAGAAAAUGGCGAGAAGCAAAUGUUCACUGUUAGAUCAGUGAGGAUCACGCAGCAGAGCAGUCAAGGCAAUCCUAGCUCACCCAAUGGUCCUGUGGGUGGUGUUGGGGGUGAACUCGACUUAUGAAAUUCAGUCUGAUGAUGAUUACAAAGUGGGUCAGCGAAGGGCAUUUGCAAGUGGUCGAAGAAAAACUAAGAUUGUCUGUACAAUUGGUCCUUAUACAAGCUCACGUGAAAUGACAUGGAAACUUGCAGAAACUGGGAUGAAUGUAGUGCGUUUGAAAAUGUCUCAUGGGGACCAUACGUCGCACCAGAAAACUAUUGAUCUUGUCAAAGAAUACAACUCUCAAUUCAAAGACAAGGUUAUAGCCAUAAUACUGGACACCAAGGGUCCUGAGGUUAGGAGUGGAGAUGUACCACAACCAAUUCUGCUUACAGAGGGACAAGAGCUUAACUUUACAAUUAGAAGAGGAGUUAGCACCAAAGAUACCGUUAGUGUAAACUAUGAUGACUUUGUGAAUGAUGUGGAGGUUUGAGACAUAGUUCUGGUUGAUGGGAAAGCUGAAGGUGUUAUAUAUGAAGAUGAUGGUGAUGGAUAUGAAUUCCUGGAAGGAGGAUUCUUGUUGACACACUAUGUUGCUGAACUUCAAUCAUCAACACUUACUCUCAAAAUUUCAAAAACUGAAGGAUCUUGGAAGAGGCCAAACCGUCGCUUGCAUGUGCAAUUAUUGCUUGGUGGAGGUGCCAUGGUUGAUAUAUGGGGUGAGGAUGGAGAGAUUCUUCAACUUUCAAUGCCUUCAGAACAGGAGGUCUCACAGCUGGUUUCUACCAGUGAGAAACAGUACAGAACUCGUUUGGAUUUUGCUUUCAGCUUUCGAGUGUGCGCAGUCGCAGUGCAAUGAGAGGAACAAUGAGUUCAGUUUGCUGGUGAGCUUCAACCCAAGGGUUGUAACUACCACUUGAAGGUUCCUUCCGGGGAUCCCAAGAUGCUUAAUAGACAAGUGGUGAAAUCUGAGUUUCCUACUAUUAAGAUUUUGCCUGUGAAUUUCAUCAAGUGCAAGACGCCCUUAAGUACAAGGUGAGGCUGCAGUUUGUUCUUGGCUGAAGAGAACUAAGAAGGUUCCAAGGAGGAGUGCAAAAUCAAAUCAGAAACUGGCAAAGAAAUAUGAGAAUAACAAAGACGACGAAGAGGAUCAAGAAGAAGCCGAUGAAGAUGAGAAGGAAGAGAAUGAUGCCCAGGACUAAUAUGUGAUUUGCAUUUUGAUUGGGUCCAGUUUGUGACGAGAAGAUUGGGUUGAAAACAAGUGGAACAGAUAGAGGUUCUGGGCGGUUGGUUGGGCUGAUUGGGGAAAACGGUGGAGCUGCAGACGCCAAAAAUCUACGGGUGAAGGUGUGGGAAGCGGUGGGAAUAGAGAAUUGCGGACUAAAUCUCCUCCAAAAGAUAGUCUGUGACUGUCAGCGUGCUGUUUUGGUCCUCCUUGGCUCCUUGGCCGAGCCUAGGUCCAGUCCUUCCACUUCUAUGUACCUGACUCUUGAUGUGGGUGAUCGUGUUUUAGCUGAGAAGGUUUCAUAUCUCUUUAGAAAGCCUGAGGUUUCAUAUAUAGUGAUUUUCAAGGCACCUCCAAUCUUGCAGGAAAUUGGCUUUAGCUCGGGCAAUGUAUUUAUAAAAAGAAUUGUGGCCAGGGGUGGAGAUUAUGUUGAGGUACAUGAUGGGAAAUUGUUGGUGAAUGGUGAAAUUGAAAAUGAAAAUUACAUAUUGGAGCCUCUUGCCUAUAAAAUGGAACCAAUUAAGCGUAUGUCUGUGAUGGGGGACAACCGCAACAACAGUUGACUCUCAUAACUGGUAAUUUCAACUCUCAGUAUUAUUUUCGAUUAUCCCCACUAAACAUUUUUGCUUCUGGGUCAGAGGUAUUUCCUUUGUAUUUUACUACCAGUCUCUGUGCAUUGAAUUGAUCUGUUUACUGUGUUUUGUUUGGUAGUGUUGUAGUUUGUUCUAGAGUGAAAGGUGCUAAUUAGAGGUUUAGACUGAUCUGUAUGUACCCAGCUUGAAUUCCAUGUGGCAUCUUCUGCAACAUAAGUUACUUCAACUUUGAAAAGCUGUCGAAUUUACUGAGCCAUAUGUGAAAAUUGGUUUUCCAAGCUCUUAAAAGCGAUUAAACUUUGUUCUGUUGGAUUUGUUUGCUUAUAGGAUCAUCAUACGUACAAUUACUGCUUUUGGCUGAAUAGUCUUUGAGUUGAUCUUCAGCAAAUAAAUGCCCAAAGUUGAAUAACUCUAACCACUAAUAUGAGUGAUUCAUAUCAAUGUGCUCAGUUACUUUACUAAUAAGUAAAAGCAUGAAACUUAUGUGAAUUAACUUUUCUACAAUUCUUUAGAUAAAUAUUACAAGCAGCUUCUCUGCCUCUCUUGAACCUUUAUAGGAUAGCAGAGGUCUAGGAAUAGUUCCAAAUCUAUUUUGAAGUAUGAAAAUAUGAAUCCAGUAUUCCCCUUCAUCAUUGCUGGUAGCCCUCCUAAAUUUUUAAUUCUUAAUCAUAUAGUUCAAAGAUUUAAAAUGUUUAAAAAAUGAGAUUGGAAAGACACAUUCUGAGUUUUACUGUUUUACAUAUCUUAUGCUUUGCUCAUGGAAUCCAAGAACAAGGUGAAAGCUGCUAAUGAAUUUCAAAUCUUGGGAUAUCAAGGUCUCCAUAUGUUCAUUUUAAACUUGAAUAUCGCAUUUCGUCUGUUUCUUACUCAUUGUAGACAUGCAUUAAGCUAUUAUUAUUUUGUUCAGAGUGUUCAGCCCAUAGAAAUAUUUAAUGAUGCAUUUAGGAAAUUUCUUGCACACUUAAUAAGAAGACCGCCAAAAGCUCCUGAGGUAUGCAACCCUUAUACUCUUUGUGCUGGAUUUAUUUUAGUAUUGGUUGUGUACAAGUCACUUGCCAGUUUAAUCUUUUUGAACUGUCAGGAGGAUUCAGCAGAGGAACGCUUACCCGCCCGAAGCGUUGGAACUGUCCUUUCCAAGACAAGAAAAGGACAGCUUUGCAUCUGCAUUUGUUUCAACAUUAUUAUUCCCAGACACUGCUCACUAGGUUUGUCAAGUAAUUGAAUCUCUGUUUUUAUUGAAUUUGUGGUCUUUCUUCUGAAUUGAAAGUGAUUUUUUUUUUUUUUU